rnacentral:rRNA from 1 species
GGCCCCUUGAAGACGACAAGGUUGAUAGGUCAGGGGUGGAAGCAUGGCAACAUGUGGAGCUGACUGAUACUAAUAGGCCGAGGGCUUAAUCA